CAACCGGCCGCAGGGUGGCGCAUUGCACUUAAGUGCCUACUGUACAUUCCUCUUUCCUGGAAGCAAGCCGUCCGCCAGAUGUCGCGGCGUCUCUGCGUGGGAAGAGGAGAGGAGGGGCCUGGCCUGGGAAUCCGCUGCUUCCCAUUCCAGGCGCAGGGGCACAACAUGGCGGAUUAAGAGGCGAGCGACGCGCCCGGAUACAACCAACAAAUCGUGGGAUACUGAUUCCCCGUGUCGCGGAGAAGGCAGGAAUAUAGGCUUUUAGGAAAGCUAGCGCACACCUUUAAGACAUCCCGAGACAUGCAUUUUGGAUACAAGUAAGCGCCCUUGUUGCUUUGCCCCACUCCAAAAUUGGCUGUCUGUCCGAGAUCAUUCCUAUCACCCAGGCCCCCCACCCCGAACACACUCUUGGUUCCUGGGGUGUGGAGACAGGGGCCGGGGAAGGUGGAAAACAAUCGCACUUUAUCUGGAACAUCAGGCUCCGUAGCGCGGGACAGGGCUGUCAAGGAGAUCAUUGUGCGGAUGAGUGAGUGAUGCAGGUUUCGUUUCUCCAGGGCAGUAUGGGUGUGUGUCCCUGCUCCUGCUAUCCCACGUAGCCUUUGUGGCCCCUCAGCAUGGGGCCCAGACACUCCAUGACCCUUCAGGUCCAGUCCUGUCUACCAAACACACACCCACUUCUCCCAACAUCACCCGCUAUAGUCACCCAGGCACCCCCAUCAUCCACCCCAUCUGAGGCUCCACCGUCUCCCUGAACUUGUAA